CACACAUGUAUCAAGUUUUCGGUUAUUACAAUACUAGCAUGAAUAAUAAACAUUUAUCAUGAAAUAAGCAAAUAUAAAAUAACAACUUUAUUAUUGCCUCUAGGGCAUAUUUCCUUCAAAACCACAAUCUAGUAAAAAUCUAUGACAAUAUUGCAGUAAAAAACUAUAUAUCAAAAACAUACCACAACAAGGAGAAGGAAGAAUCCUAUGCCCAGCAUGGUAAGUCUCUACUUUCAGAUCAAACACAGAGUGGUCCAGAGUGAAGACCACACGAUCUCCAGCACAAAGAGCAUAGUCAUGGGUAAGUUCGAACCAGGCAGAACCAUAGAACUUGGAGUAAUGGGCUUCAUGCUUAAAAAUAACAGCAUAAGAUCUACUCUCAAAAGUCAGCAAAGCAGGCUCAAUCCUCUUGUAGUGCGACAUCUUGGCAACAUUCCUGUGCUCCUGAAUGUAAGCAGCUAGGAAAGCCCUCACAUUGCAGGGAAUGUAUUGGAUUGAACAAGAACAAAAUCAAUAGAAAAAAAUUCUAUAAAAGAGGUUGAAUAUAAGUGCACAGGCUUGAGUAUGAGUUCAAAAACCUAAUUCCUAAAACCUAAAAAGGUACAAUUAAAACUUGCAUUCUUAUCAUACUAAAAUCGCACACAUUGUACAACAGCAAAAACAUACAUACAUGCCUAUAUGAUACACUAGAUUAUAACUUACUGUAAGCACAUACAUUGAUAGGUACUAGGUCAUACUAAAGACCUAAAAUAAAAAAUGCACAAGCUUGAGUAUGAGUACAAAAACCUAAUUCCUAAAAUCAAAAAAGCUAUAAUUACAACUUGCAUUAUACUAAACUUGAAUACAUUUUACAAUAGCAAAAGAUUCAUACUAGCCUAUAUGAUACACUGGAUUACUACUUACUGCAAACGGAUACAUUGAUAGGUCAUACUAAAUACCUAAAAAUAAAAAUGCACAAGCUUCAGUAUGAGUUCAAAAACCUAAUUCCUAAAACCUAAAAAGGUACAAUUAAAACUUGCAUUCUUAUCAUACUAAAAUUGCACACAUUGUACAACAGCAAAAAGAUACAUACAAGCCUAUAUGAUACACUGGAUUAUAACUUACUGUAAGCUCAUACAUUGAUAGGUACUAGGUCAUACUAACUACCUAAAAUAAAAAAAUGCUCAAGCUUGAGUAUGAGUACAAAAACCUAAUUCCUAAAAUCAAAAAAGCUACAAUUACAACUUGCAUCCUCAUCAUACUAAACUUACAUACAUUUUACAAUAGCAAAAGAUUCAUACUAGCCUAUUAUGAUACACUGGAUUACUACUUACUGCAAACAGAUACAUUGAUAGGUCAUACUAAAUACCUAAAAAUAGAAAUGCACAAGCUUCACUAUGAGUACAAGAAACUAAUUCCUAAAAUCAAAAAGGUACAAUUAAAACUUGCAUCCUCAUCAUACUAAAAAUAUCACACAUUUUACAACAACAAAAAGAUUCAUACUAGCCUAUAUGAUACAAUGGAUUAUAACUUACUGUAAGCGCAUACAUUGAUAGGUACUAGGUCAUACUAAAGACCUAAAAUAAAAAUUGCACAAGCUUGAGUAUGAGUACGAAAACCUAAUUCCUAAAAUAAAAAAAGCUACAAUUACAACUUGCAUCCUCAUCAUACCAAACUUGCAUACAUUUCACAAUAGGAAAAAUAUUCAUACUAGCCUAUAUGAUACACUAGAUUACUACUUACUGCAAGUAGAUAUAUUGAUAGGUCAUACUAAAUAC
rnacentral:lncRNA from 1 species